ACUCCUACGGGAGGCAGCAGUGGGGAAUUGUUCGCAAUGGGCGCAAGCCUGACGACGCAACGCCGCGUGGAGGAUGAAGGUCUUCGGAUUGUAAACUCCUGUUGCCCGGGACGAAAAGCUCCGACCUAACACGUUGGAGUCUGACGGUACCGGGUGAGGAAGCCCCGGCUAACUCUGUGCCAGCAGCCGCGGUAAU
rnacentral:rRNA from 1 species